CCGUUUAGGGGUAAACCUGAGAAACCCGAAAGGUCGAAGGGAGAAAUUCAUUCGCGUUUCGCCGACGGCGAGUGACGGUCGUGCGACGGGCGAGACGUUCGCGCGUCUUACCCGCACCCUCCGUCAUCUCGGACCGAUGGCGAACGCGUGCACUUUUCUCCCGGUAGGACGUCGCAAUCCGUUGGGUGUCGGUCUACGGCUCGCGGUGGAGCCCGGACGUACGGCGAUAAAACGUCGCGCGUUCGGACCCGCGUGUCCCGGCCGACUGGCUCGACGGUAGACGAAAAAGGUUUGAGGCCGCUCAUAAGCGAGCGUUCGACUCGCGGCAAGCACGCCAGAUGCGUCGGCGAUCGGACCUAGUGCCGGUUCCGACCUCUGACGUCUGUUGGCCGCGAAGUUCUCGAACAGAGUCUCUCAUGACCGAUUUGCGACGCUAUAGCUUUGGGUACUUUCAGGACCCGUCUUGAAACACGGACCAAGGAGUCUAGCAUGUGCGCGAGUCAUUGGGUAUAAAGAUAAACCUAAAGGCGCAAUGAAAGUAAAGGUCCGCCUCGCGCGGACCGAGGGAAGAGGGGCGAUUCGUCCUUAAAAACGGUCGCCUCGCACUCCCGGGGCGUCUCGUUCUCAUCGCGAGAAGAGGCGCACCAUGAGCGUACACGCUGGGACCCGAAAGAUGGUGAACUAUGCCUGGUCAGGACGAAGUCAGGGGAAACCCUGAUGGAGGUCCGUAGCGAUUCUGACGUGCAAAUCGAUCGUCGGAACUGGGUAUAGGGGCGAAAGACUAAUCGAACCAU
rnacentral:rRNA from 1 species